AUCACAACUUUAACCCCCAAGCCAACAGCCAGAAUGAUAUCACAACUUUAACCCCCAAGCCAACAGCCAGAAUGUUAUCACAACUUUAACCCUACCCCCAAGCCAACAUGUUAAUGAUAUCACAACUUUAACCCAACCCCCAAGCCAACAUGUUAAUGAUAUCACAACUUUAACCCUACCCCCAAGCCAACAGCCAGAAUGAUAUCACAACGUUAACCCUACCCCCAAGCCAACAUGUUAAUGAUAUCACAACUUUAACCCAACCCCCAAGCCAACAUGUUAAUGAUAUCACAACUUUAACCCAACCCCCAAGCCAACAUGUUAAUGAUAUCACAACUUUAACCCAACCCCCAAGACAACAGCCAGAAUGAUAUCACAACUUUAACCCAACCCCCAAGCCAACAUGUUAAUGAUAUCACAACUUUAACCCAACCCCCAAGCCAACAGGUUAAUGAUAUCACAACUUUAACCCCCAAGCCAACAGGUUAAUGAUAUCACAACUUUAACCCAACCCCCAAGCCAACAGGUUAAUGAUAUCACAACUUUAACCCCCAAGCCAACAGGUUAAUGAUAUCACAACUUUAACCCAACCCCCAAGCCAACAGGUUAAUGAUAUCACAACUUUAACCCCCAAGCCAACAGGUUAAUGAUAUCACAACUUUAACCCCCCAAGCCAACAGGUUAAUGAUAUCACAACUUUAACCCCCAAGCCAACAGGUUAAUGAUAUCACAACUUUAACCCCCCAGCCAACAGGUUAAUGAUAUCACAACUUUAACCCCCCAAGCCAACAGGUUAAUGAUAUCACAACUUUAACCCCCAAGCCAACAGGUUAAUGAUAUCACAACUUUAACCCCCCAGCCAACAGGUUAAUGAUAUCACAACUUUAACCCCCCAAGCCAACAGGUUAAUGAUAUCACAACUUUAACCCCCCAAGCCAACAGGUUAAUGAUAUCACAACUUUAACCCCCAAGCCAACAGGUUAAUGAUAUCACAACUUUAACCCCCAAGCCAACAGCCAGAAUGAUAUCACAACUUUAACCCCCCAAGCCAACAGGUUAAUGAUAUCACAACUUUAACCCCCAAGCCAACAGGUUAAUGAUAUCACAACUUUAACCCAACCCCCAAGCCAACAGGUUAAUGAUAUCACAACUUUAACCCCCAAGCCAACAGGUUAAUGAUAUCACAACUUUAACCCAACCCCCAAGCCAACAGGUUAAUGAUAUCACAACUUUAACCCCCAAGCCAACAGGUUAAUGAUAUCACAACUUUAACCCCCCAAGCCAACAGGUUAAUGAUAUCACAACUUUAACCCCCCAAGCCAACAGGUUAAUGAUAUCACAACUUUAACCCCCCAAGCCAACAGGUUAAUGAUAUCACAACUUUAACCCCCAAGCCAACAGGUUAAUGAUAUCACAACUUUAACCCCCAAGCCAACAGGUUAAUGAUAUCACAACUUUAACCCCCCAGCCAACAGGUUAAUGAUAUCACAACUUUAACCCCCAAGCCAACAGGUUAAUGAUAUCACAACUUUAACCCCCAAGCCAACAGGUUAAUGAUAUCACAACUU